UAUAUAUAUAUAUAUAUAUAUAUAGAGUUGGACUGGGCUACUAUUAGUAGCAAAAUUUCAUUGUUGCUACCAGUUUUUUAGCCUUUAGAUCAACUCUUUUUAUUAUUUCUAACCAUUGGAUUAAAUAUUAUAACCCAGUGGGGACCACUCAACCCUAGGGGGACCACUCAACUCUAACCGACUAAUAUCAUCCUGACCCUACAAUUUUUCAUCCAAGGGUUAAAAAUUUGGUAGCAAAAAGAGCGUUUUACUAUUAAUAGUAUUCCAGCAUAAUUCUAUAUAUAUAUAUAUAUAUAGAUAUAAAUAUAUAUGGUACCUCGUUCCUGCUUUAAGAUAGUUAUUAGUUUGGGGAAAUAAGUGUGCUUCGUUCAAGGAAAAUCUAAAAAUGUUGUUAUGAUUUGAUGGUUUAAACAAAAACUUGUUUUCCCAAUAUUUUAAUUUUGGAGUUUGAUCCUCCGACAGUGUGUUUAAUAAUUAUUAGUAUAUUAGUAAAUAUUUAAUGUUGUUGAAUAUUUUCUUUGCAGAAAAAAAUGUAAUUUAUACAUGUUAAGUGAUUUGUAAUCUUAGAUCAGUGUUCUACGUAAAACUUAUGGUAUUGAAACAACUCCACUUGUUGAAGCAAUUCUGUGAAUUGCUGUACAUGCCGUUACCCGAUUCCGC
rnacentral:lncRNA from 1 species